rnacentral:rRNA from 1 species
AACGAACGCUGGCGGCAGGCCUAACACAUGCAAGUCGAACGCGUGUAGCAAUACACGAGUGGCGCACGGGUGAGUAACACGUGGGAAUCAACCCAGAGGUUCGGAAUAACCGCGGGAAACUGCGGCUAAUACCGGAUAUCCCCUACGGGGGAAAGAUUUAUCGCCUUUGGACGAGCCCGCGUCCGAUUAGCUAGUUGGUGAGGUAAUGGCUCACCAAGGCGACGAUCGGUAGCUGGUCUGAGAGGAUGAUCAGCCACACUGGAACUGAGAUACGGUCCAGACUCCUACGGGAGGCAGCAGUGGGGAAUAUUGGGCAAUGGAGGCAACUCUGACCCAGCCAUGCCGCGUGGGUGACGAAGGUCUUCGGAUUGUAAAGCCCUUUCGGCGGGGACGAUGAUGACGGUACCCGCAGAAGAAGCCCCGGCUAACUUCGUGCCAGCAGCCGCGGUAAUACGAAGGGGGCUAGCGUUGUUCGGAAUUACUGGGCGUAAAGGGCGUGUAGGCGGCCCGUUAAGUCG